AACAAGCCGGCGCGAAAACAAGCAAAAUAAAACAAAGUAACCGGAAAAAAGCGCUUUGCCGUUCUUUUUCUGGACGAAACAUUUCGCUCAGGACUUUCCAUACACCACCACCGCCGCGUGUGCCUCUCCGGUCACUGAACCGGAUUGACAUGUUCGGUUGCAAAUUUGGAUUGUUCGAGAACGCGAUUCUCGGGCACACUUUCCAGCAGCCGAAUCGGUGGAGCGGACUGGACCUGGUUGACUAUCGGGUAUCGGACGGGCCUGUGCGUGGGGCUUAAGCUGUUUACGGUGAAUGAGGAAGCGAAUCGAAGGUGCGCUGGAAUGUGUUUCAAACCAAACAGGAGAGAGGGAGAGAGAUGGAGAGAGAGAAAGGUUGUAAAAAGGCAAGAAACGAAUCCGGUUUUGGGGCAGGUUCUAGCGUGAGAGAAAAACUUGUUUGUUUGCAAAAAAUUAUCGAGCGUUAUUUGUGCAGAAUUUUGGACCAACACCUGACGGAACUCGGAGACGAUCGCUUUCUUUGUGCCGUUUUAGCAGAAGCGGAAGAUUGCUGAAGUAAGGAGCACUUUAAGUUUGGUUGCUGCGUCCGGAAUUACCAAUUUCAUCACAUCAAGAUGAUGCUUUCAGCAACUGAAUGCGUUAUUCGUUCACAAUUUAUCCAAGAUGACCCAAGACACGCCAUAGCCUAAAAGCACGAUAAGGCAUAGCCAAAGCCAAAGGGGUCAGCGUUACAAUCAGAGCAUGUCGGUGAAGAUAGCAUACAUUAGCGGGCAAAGUUUUCACUUUCGUCUGCACUGGUGGAGCGACAUUGACAGUGAUCGUAUCGAGCGUCAAUGAUCUUCAACCUUCAAUUGCACGAGCCGUGCGGUGAUCACCGUCCAAGGGUGUGUGGCAUUAUGUUCAUGGGCAUCGAUUCGAGUGACGACACCAGCGAGUCCACCAGGCGAACUUGGGCUUACGAUUCGAACUUCUUUCGGGUGAAAGAUGAUUGUUCAAGAAGGCAUCGUCAGGGGCUGGUGGUGGUACGUUCAAUUAGUGGUUUGAAAAUUGAACACCGAAAAUAAACAGCACU